rnacentral:rRNA from 1 species
UACGUAGGGCGCGAGCGUUGUCCGGAAUUAUUGGGCGUAAAGAGCUCGUAGGCGGUUUGUCGCGUCUGCCGUGAAAUCCUCUGGCUUAACUGGGGGCGUGCGGUGGGUACGGGCAGACUGGAGUGCGGUAGGGGAGACUGGAAUUCCUGGUGUAGCGGUGGAAUGCGCAGAUAUCAGGAGGAACACCGGUGGCGAAGGCGGGUCUCUGGGCCGUUACUGACGCUGAGGAGCGAAAGCAUGGGGAGCGAACAGGAUUAGAAACCCUAGUAGUCC